rnacentral:rRNA from 1 species
AUUGAACGCUGGCGGCAGGCCUAACACAUGCAAGUCGAGCGAGCGGCGGACGGGUGAGUAAUGUCUGGGAAACUGCCUGCUGGAGGGGGAUAACUACUGGAAACGGUAGCUAAUACCGCAUACCAUCAGAUGUGCCCAGAUGGGCUUAGCUGGUAGGUGGGGUAACGGCUCACCUAGGCGACGAUCCCUAGCUGGUCUGAGAGGAUGACCCGCCACACUGGAACUUAAACACGGUCCAGACUCCUACGGGAGGCAGCAGGGGGGAAGAGUGCACAAUGGGAGCAAGCCUGAUGCAGCCAUGCCGCGUGUGUGAAGAAGGCCUUCGGGUUGUAAAGCACUUUACGCGGGGAGGCGUUACCCGCAGAAGAAGCACCGGCUAACUCCGUGCCAGCAGCCGCGGUAAUAC